AGCAGAAAUGAAACCAAUGUUGUCUAUGACACAAAUAACUAUAUUACACUGGGACUGUUGUUGGUGGCACCCAUGAUGAUGCUUUACAGUUCGGUUAUCGGAUCAAAACAAGAACAUAUGCUGUGCUGUCAGAAGCGUUCAGGGAUCUUUUGAAAUGGUCAGAUGGUGUUAUGACUGGGUGAAUGAUCUUGACCAGAUCAACAGCGAGGUUUUAGCCAUUGAUUUGUUUUGUUUUGGUCCCACUUUGUGCACCUGUCCAGUCCCUCCCCGGUGGCUGCAAGUGUCCAGCUGAAUGUGAGCGAUCGGAAUUGACAGCAGGGAAAUGGAAAUUCAAUUUCACACGUCACCUGCUGCUCGCUAGAAUGUAAUCCACUAGAAUGAUGGAAGAGGAUGAGAAGUAUCUUAAUCACCAAACAGCUACUUCACAGAACUUACCACAGAAAUAUCAAGUCAAGUCACCUUUAUUUUUAUGCAAGCCAAAGGCAAAAGUGGCAAGGAACCAUCAGGUGACAGUAAUGGAGAGAGAAAAAAGGAGAUGCUUGAUCAAAGACGGAUGAUCUCUGAUGAGCCCAUGACAAGCGAGGGCGACUUGUGACACAGCAGGACCAGAAAUUGGAUGUACAUGCUCCAUAUGAGGGUUCACACAAAUUCAAUUGGAUUUGAAGCGUGAUCUCUUGAAGAGUGGAGCAAUGCAAUCAUGUCUUUUAUCGGUGAGUGAACAAACAGAUACAAUACCAGCAUUCUUCUCACAAACAGUACACACACAAUAAAUAAUAUAAAAAAGAGAUCAGUGAUAAGCUGUUUUUUGGGGUUUCU